AUUUUUACAGGUCUCGUCGCGUGUCCGGGCCGGCUCGGUCGCCGGGGGGCGAUCCUUGAGGAAGGGGUACUGUCAUGGUCCGGGUGAGUACGGGGUUUUUCCACUCCGCUGGGCUCCACCUUCAGGCAGAGACUCCAAUCAGCUUCCACACCUGGUUCCAAUCAAGUCACCAGCAUAUAAGACCAGCAUUCACAACAGACCUCUGCCAGAUCUUCUGCUAACUCAUGACCCACCUGGCCGUCGCGAUUCCCAACCCAGACUACUCACAUCUCCGCCUGGACGCUGGUUCCAUCAUCUGGUUGCUCCCUUUCCAUCGUCUGACUACACCUGCCUGCCUCUCUGCCAAGCCCCUCACUCCAAGCAUAUUCUGGAUCCUCUCUGGACACUCCUCACCCGGAACCCCCUGGACACCCCCUCCUCGCAUGACACUUUAAACCUGCAACGCGUAAGCCCUAACCACCAUAGUCUAAUCCUCCAGCUGUGAUUCACUAAG
ensembl:lncRNA